UGCAGUCGAACGGUGAAGCCAAGCUUGCUUGGUGGAUCAGUGGCGAACGGGUGAGUAACACGUGAGCAACCUGCCCUGGACUCUGGGAUAAGCGCUGGAAACGGCGUCUAAUACUGGAUAUGAGCCUCUAUCGCAUGGUGGGGGUUGGAAAGAUUUUUUGGUCUGGGAUGGGCUCGCGGCCUAUCAGCUUGUUGGUGAGGUAAUGGCUCACCAAGGCGUCGACGGGUAGCCGGCCUGAGAGGGUGACCGGCCACACUGGGACUGAGACACGGCCCAGACUCCUACGGGAGGCAGCAGUGGGGAAUAUUGCACAAUGGGCGGAAGCCUGAUGCAGCAACGCCGCGUGAGGGAUGACGGCCUUCGGGUUGUAAACCUCUUUUAGCAGGGAAGAAGCGAGAGUGACGGUACCUGCAGAAAAAGCGCCGGCUAACUACGUGCCAGCAGCCGCGGUAAUACGUAGGGCGCAAGCGUUAUCCGGAAUUAUUGGGCGUAAAGAGCUCGUAGGCGGUUUGUCGCGUCUGCUGUGAAAUCCCGAGGCUCAACCUCGGGCCUGCAGUGGGUACGGGCAGACUAGAGUGCGGUAGGGGAGAUUGGAAUUCCUGGUGUAGCGGUGGAAUGCGCAGAUAUCAGGAGGAACACCGAUGGCGAAGGCAGAUCUCUGGGCCGUAACUGACGCUGAGGAGCGAAAGGGUGGGGAGCAAACAGGCUUAGAUACCCUGGUAGUCCACCCCGUAAACGUUGGGAACUAGUUGUGGGGACCUUCCACGGUUCCGUGACG
rnacentral:rRNA from 1 species